rnacentral:hammerhead_ribozyme from 1 species
AUCCAGCUGACGAGUGCCAAAUAGGAUGAAAUGCGCGUCAAACUAGAU